rnacentral:rRNA from 1 species
AUUGAACGCUAGCGGCAUGCCUUACACAUGCAAGUCGAACGAGUGGCGGACGGGUGAGUAAUAUAUGGGAACCUGCCCAGUAGAGGGGGAUAACUACUGGAAAGGGUGGCUAAUACCGCAUACUAUCGGAUGAGCCGAUAUCGGAUUAGCUAGUUGGUGGGGUAAAGGCUCACCAAGGCGACGAUCCCUAGCUGGUCUGAGAGGAUGACCAGCCACACUGGGACUGAGACACGGCCCAGACUCCUACGGCAGGCAGCAGUGGGGAAUAUUGGACAAUGGGGGCAAGCCUGAUGCAGCCAUGCCGCGUGUAUGAAGAAGGCCUUCGGGUUGUAAAGUACUUUCAGCGGGGAGGCGUUACCCGCAGAAGAAGCACCGGCUAACUACGUGCCAGCAGCCGCGGUAAUAC